UAAACUGCGUUCCAAUCUCUUCAUUAGAAACGAGGAAAGAAAACUGUAGAACAUGAACAUGAACAUGCGAGGGAACCAUACAAUCUUACCUUCCAAGUGGCACGGAGACUUCCAGGAUUGGACUGGGAGGAGGUACUUGUGGGAAAGGGAGAACUCUCGUUCUGGCAGACUGGUUUCGGACUCCACACAGGGUGAGUACCAGAUGUUGCGUAGAACACUGAAGUGAAAACAUUACCAUGUCCCUUGGACUUAAGAUCGGAAAUAACCCCUGAAACAGGUUUUUAUUUGAGCCACCAUACUGACAACAAUUUCCAGAAGUAGUUCGAGACAAUUUAUGGGAUUCAUGAGAAUCCCAACUGGGGUUGUUUACUUCGGCGGAUGUAAUUGAUGGUGUUCGAAAAAGAGGGUGCACUAAUUUACUAUUACUAUACCUGCAUAUAGAAAUUGUCACCCACCGUCAGAAAAUGAGCAAUCGCAAAGAAUUAUUGCAAGUUGA